UGCAGUCGAACGGUGAUAGCAAUAUCAUAGUGGCGCACGGGUGCGUAACACGUAUGCAACCUACCUUAUACUGAGGGAUAGCCUUUCGAAAGGGAGAUUAAUACCUCAUAACACAUUGAACUGGCAUCAGUUUAUUGUUAAAGAUUUAUUGGUAUAAGAUGGGCAUGCGUCCAAUUAGUUAGUUGGUGUGGUAAUGGCUCACCAAGACGAUGAUUGGUAGGGGAUCUGAGAGGAUAAUCCCCCACACUGGCACUGAGAUACGGGCCAGACUCCUACGGGAGGCAACAGUAGGGAAUAUUGGGCAAUGGGCGAAAGCCUGACCCAGCCAUGCCGCGUGCAGGAAGACGGCGUUAUGCGUUGUAAACUGCUUUUUUAUAGGAAGAAGGAUCCCUUGCGAGGGAAGGUGACGGUACUAUAAGAAUAAGCACCGGCUAACUCCGUGCCAGCAGCCGCGGUAAUACGGAGGGUGCAAGCGUUGUCCGGAUUUAUUGGGUUUAAAGGGUGCGUAGGCGGUUUAUUAAGUCAGUGGUGAAAGACGGUCGCUCAACGAUUGCAGUGCCAUUGAUACUGGUAGACUUGAGUGGGAUUGAGGUAGCUGGAAUGGAUAGUGUAGCGGUGAAAUGCAUAGAUAUUAUCCAGAACACCAAUUGCGUAGGCAAGUUACUAAGUCUCAACUGACGCUGAGGCACGAAAGUGUGGGUAUCAAACAGGAUUAGAUACCCUGGUAGUCCACACUGUAAACGAUGAUAACUAACUGUUGGC
rnacentral:rRNA from 1 species